GACGAACCGUGCGAACGUUGUUCGGAAUCACUGGGUUUAAAGGGCGCGUAGGCGGGCUGUCAAGUCGGUGGUGAAAUCUUUCGGCUCAACCGGAAAAUCGCCUUCGAUACUGGCGGCCUUGAGGGAGGUAGGGCAUGCGGAACUUCCGGUGGAGCGGUGAAAUGCGUAGAUAUCGGAAGGAACACCGAUGGCGAAAGCAGCGUGCUGGACCUUUCUGACGCUGAGGCGCGAAAGCCAGGGGAGCAAA
rnacentral:rRNA from 1 species